GGAUGCGUCUUUGCCCGGAUAACCUGGCACGAGAUCCUGGCUUGGUGCCGGCUCACCACUCCUCCAAUGGACGGCGCGACGACCUUCUUCGCUUGGUGGGCGCUUGCGUCCGCCACCUCGCCGAGCAGACUCCGUAAAGGGCUCAACUCCAUCGUCGCUCUAACCGCUUGGGCCAUCUGGAAGCAUCGCAACGCCGCCAUCUUCGACGGCUUACAACCCUCCACUGAUGGUCUGGUGGUCUCCAUCCAGGAUGACGCUCGCCUAUGGGCUAAGGCCGGCGCCAAGGGACUAGCCUCUAUUAUUCCUGUAACCUGA
rnacentral:rRNA from 1 species